rnacentral:rRNA from 1 species
AUUGAACGCUGGCGGUAUGCUUAACACAUGCAAGUCGAACGGAAACGAUACUAGCUUGCUAGUAGGCGUCGAGUGGCGGACGGGUGAGUAACGCGUAGGAAUCUGCCUGAUAGUGGGGGAUAGCCCGAAGAAAUUCGGAUUAAUACCGCAUAAUCUAUUCGUAGUAAAGUGGGGGACUUUCGAGCCUCACGCUAUCAGAUGAGCCUGCGUAAGAUUAGCUUGUUGGUAGGGUAAAAGCCUACCAAGGCGACGAUCUUUAGCUGGUCUGAGAGGAUGAUCAGCCACAUCGGGACUGAGACACGGCCCGAACUCCUACGGGAGGCAGCAGUGGGGAAUAUUGGACAAUGGGGGCAACCCUGAUCCAGCAAUACCGCGUGUGUGAAGAAGGCCUGAGGGUUGUAAAGCACUUUCAAUUGUGAAGAAAAGUUAGCGGUUAAUAACCGUUAGCCUUGACGUUAACUUUAGAAGAAGCACCGGCUAACUCCGUGCCAGCAGCCGCGGUAAUACGGAGGGUGCAAGCGUUAAUCGGAAUUACUGGGCGUAAAGCGUGCGUAGGCGGUUUAUUAAGUCAGAUGUGAAAGCCCCGGGCUUAACCUGGGAACUGCAUUUGAAACUGGUCAACUAGAGUAUGGUAGAGGAAAGUGGAAUUUCUGGUGUAGCGGUGAAAUGCGUAGAUAUCAGAAGGAACAUCAAUGGCGAAGGCAGCUUUCUGGACCAAUACUGACGCUGAGGUACGAAAGCGUGGGUAGCAAACAGGAUUAGAUACCCUGGUAGUCCACGCCGUAAACGAUGAUAACUAGCCGUUGGGGGGAUUUACCCUUUAGUGGCGAAGCUAACGCGUUAAGUUAUCCGCCUGGGGAGUACGGCCGCAAGGUUAAAACUCAAAGGAAUUGACGGGGACCCGCACAAGCGGUGGAGCAUGUGGUUUAAUUCGAUGCAACGCGAAGAACCUUACCUGGUCUUGACAUCCUGCGAACUUUCUAGAAAUAGAUUGGUGCCUUCGGGAACGCAGUGACAGGUGCUGCAUGGCUGUCGUCAGCUCGUGUCGUGAGAUGUUGGGUUAAGUCCCGUAACGAGCGCAACCCCUAUCCUUAUUUGCCAGCACAUUAUGGUGGGAACUAUAAGGAGACUGCCGGUGAUAAACCGGAGGAAGGCGGGGACGACGUCAAGUCAUCAUGGCCCUUACGACCAGGGCUACACACGUGCUACAAUGGGAAGGACAAAGAGCCGCGAAGCCGCGAGGUGUAGCUAAUCUCAUAAACCUUUUCGUAGUCCGGAUUGGAGUCUGCAACUCGACUCCAUGAAGUCGGAAUCGCUAGUAAUCGUAGAUCAGAAUGCUACGGUGAAUACGUUCCCGGGUCU